rnacentral:lncRNA from 1 species
GAAAAAAUUAGAGAAAAAUCUCCUAAAAACUGAGCAGCUGAACCUCUAAAAUAACAUUGAAUUUUCCUGCAUUUUCUUAGUUGAAAACUGCUCAGAACUCUGCUUUGUUUUUGGUUUUUCUGAUUCUCAUUGCUGAGUUUUAAACUAUUGAAAACAUUAGAAUCUACCUUCUCGUUAAAAUGGCUCGAAUUUGGGUUUAAGAGUUUGGUUUUGAAUCAUUUGGGUUUUGGUUUUUGAAGUCUAGAUUUAGGUUGCGAUUACUGUUGCAUUGCUGAUUCUUGCUACUGCUGCUUUCUCUUAGUUCAAACUAGGUUUCUGAUCUAUUUUUGCUAUUAUUCAGGUACACUUCUGCCUUUUACCUCAUGUAAAGCUUGAAUUGAAGAAUGAAAUAAAAAAUAGAGUUCAAAACAUUUUUUCUAGUUCACUUUAUGAACUACUUCUUGUUGGAUGGUAUUUCAUAGCCUUAGUCCAUUGUCUUCUUAAUUGAUUUCUACAUUAGCCGUUGGAAUUUAUUUUCUUGUAUUUAAUUUGGGACUAUUAAGUACUGCGGAUAAAAGGCUUAGUCAAGAGGCAUGUUGUUCAAUUUUUCUCUAGUUUUGGAUGUACAUCUUGAUUUUACAUAGCUUUGGUUAUAAUUUUAUAUAGAACCAAAUAUCAUGACAAGUAUAGGAUGUGUAGUCUAUUGUGAUGUGUUUGUUUUGCUCAGAAUGGAUUUUGCUCUUAAAUGUAGUGAUAAACUCAUGUUGAGUAUAUUUUGAGUUGCUUAUUCGUCUUGUUUAAAUUUUGGCAUAAAUCAAUUCGAUGUUUGAAUCUAGUGAAAAUGGGAGGUUUUAACCUAUUAGCUUGAAGAUGAUGUCGAGAAUCUUCGUAUGACUUUUGUGAUCCAAGCAAUUCGCAUGUUAAUUUUCUAGAUUGGUUGUUGUUAAUAUUGAAAAGAGCUCAGCUGAUUUAAGUUUUGUGGAGUAGUAGUUGUUAGAUAAUACGCUUAACGCUAGAGGGGGGGUGAAUAGCGUUAUAAUAAAAUUUAGUGUA